rnacentral:hammerhead_ribozyme from 1 species
GCGCUACUGAGGAGUUCAAUACUAGGACGAAACGGCCGUCCAGUGC